GAGGUCCAGCCUGCCCAGUGACAAAGUUUAACGGCCGCGGUACCCUAACCGUGCGAAGGUAGCAUAAUCACUUGUUCUUUAAAUGGGGACUAGUAUCAACGGCAUCACGAGGGUUACACUGUCUCCUUUCCUCAAUCAGUGAAACUGAUCUCCCCGUGAAGAAGCGGGGAUAUAAAUAUAAGACGAGAAGACCCCAUGGAGCUUUAAGCUCAACAACACUCACUAUAAACACGCCACUAUAACCCGCGAGCCCUGUUUGUUAGCUUUAGGUUGGGGUGACCGCGGAGUACAAUAUAGCCUCCACGACGAAUAGGCCUAAAACCUUUAUCUAAGAGCCACUGCUCUAAGAAUCAUUAAAUUGACGUAAACUGAUCCGACUUUCGAUCAACGAACCAAGUUACCCUGGGGAUAACAGCGCAAUCCAUUUCAAGAGCCCCUAUCGACAAAUGGGUUUACGACCUCGAUGUUGGAUCAGGGUAUCCUAGUGGUGCAGCCGCUACUAAAGGUUCGUUUGUUCAACGAUUAAAACCCUACGUGAUCUGAGU
rnacentral:rRNA from 1 species